AAAUCUCCCAUGCUUGGCUCUUUAUCGCCUGUUUGGUGCGUUUUUAUUUUUUUAUUAUCCUUCUUCAGGAAAGGCGCAAAAAGGAAAAAUUAAGUUCAUUCGAAUUGUGAGGAAUCUUUUACUUUCGCCCACUAUCGAAAAAGAGAGAAAAUGUUUGCCUGUCAAACUAAAGCGUUUUUGAAAAGGAACAGAAAAUGAGAUUCCUUACCUCCCAGUUUCCUGUUUACAACUUUCGCCCAGGAAAGGGAUUGGAAGAUGUCGAAUAAAGGUUCGACCCCAUGGAGCUGAACAAGGUCGAAUUUUAACAAUUCUGUUGCAGUAAGGAACAAAUGGUUCUUUACAAUAAAGACUUGGUCAUUUUUGCAUGUAUCUUAAGUUCCUCUGAUCGAAGUUGACCAGGAUUGGUUGUGAUGUGACUCCUGAUUCGCAAGAGGAGGGUUCUCCAAAAUCAUGACCCCUUAUGUAUGGUUCUGAAACGGAGAGGAGGGGCCAGUGAUGUUUCCAAAAGGGGAGUGCCGAAUAUCUCGUUUCUACCAAUGUUGUUUGUAGAAUUUGUAGGUCACAGAUUUUGAAAAAUGAUGAUGGUGUGAAACACAACUGAGUUGAUUAGCUGUGAAGGAACAAUUGGGUCUGAAUCUUGUGUAAGAAACUGUUAACUGUAGAAAAAAAUAUGUAAAAUAGAAAAGUUGAAGUGCUUUAAUUCAGUUUCAUUUCUGUUAUUCUGUUUUAUAUUAGAUAUAACAUUUAGAAAAGAGCAAAACUUUAUUUUGUUUAACUACUCGAUCAAAAC